GAUGAACGCUGGCGGCGUGCCUAACACAUGCAAGUCGAGCGAACGGACGAGAAUUUUGUUUCUUUGUCGUUAGCGGAGGACGGGUGAGUAACAUGUGGAUAACCUACCUAUAAGACUGGGAUAAUUUCGGGAAACCGGAGCUAAUAGCGGAUAAUAUUUUGAACCGCAUGGUUCAAAAGUGAAAGACGGUGUUUCUGUAUCUUAUAGCGGCAUCCGCGCUGCAUUAGCUAGUUGGUAAGGUAACGGCUUACCAAGGCAACGAUGCAUAGCCGACGUGAGAGGGUGAUCGGCCGCACUGGAACUGAGACACGGUCCAGAGUCCUACGGGAGGCAGCAGUAGGGAAUCUUCCGCAAUAGGCGAAAGCCUGACAGAGCAACGCCACGUGAGUGAUGAAGGUCUUCGGAUCGUAAAGCUCUGUUAUUAGGGAAGAACAUAUGUGUAAGUAACUGUGCACAUCUUGACGGUACCUAGUCAGAAAGCCACGGCUAACUACGUG
rnacentral:rRNA from 1 species